GUCGAGCGGACCGACGGGAGCUUGCUCCCUUAGGUCAGCGGCGGACGGGUGAGUAACACGUGGGUAACCUGCCUGUAAGACUGGGAUAACUCCGGGAAACCGGGGCUAAUACCGGAUGCUUGAUUGAACCGCAUGGUUCAAUCAUAAAAGGUGGCUUUUAGCUACCACUUACAGAUGGACCCGCGGCGCAUUAGCUAGUUGGUGAGGUAACGGCUCACCAAGGCGACGAUGCGUAGCCGACCUGAGAGGGUGAUCGGCCACACUGGGACUGAGACACGGCCCAGACUCCUACGGGAGGCAGCAGUAGGGAAUCUUCCGCAAUGGACGAAAGUCUGACGGAGCAACGCCGCGUGAGUGAUGAAGGUUUUCGGAUCGUAAAACUCUGUUGUUAGGGAAGAACAAGUACCGUUCGAAUAGGGCGGUACCUUGACGGUACCUAACCAGAAAGCCACGGCUAACUACGUGCCAGCAGCCGCGGUAAUACGUAGGUGGCAAGCGUUGUCCGGAAUUAUUGGGCGUAAAGCGCGCGCAGGCGGUUUCUUAAGUCUGAUGUGAAAGCCCCCGGCUCAACCGGGGAGGGUCAUUGGAAACUGGGGAACUUGAGUGCAGAAGAGGAGAGUGGAAUUCCACGUGUAGCGGUGAAAUGCGUAGAGAUGUGGAGGAACACCAGUGGCGAAGGCGACUCUCUGGUCUGUAACUGACGCUGAGGCGCGAAAGCGUGGGGAGCGAACAGGAUUAGAUACCCUGGUAGUCCACGCCGUAAACGAUGAGUGCUAAGUGUUAGAGGGUUUCCGCCCUUUAGUGCUGCAGCAAACGCAUUAAGCACUCCGCCUGGGGAGUACGGUCGCAAGACUGAAACUCAAAGGAAUUGACGGGGGCCCGCACAAGCGGUGGAGCAUGUGGUUUAAUUCGAAGCAACGCGAAGAACCUUACCAGUCUUGACAUCCUCUGACAACCCUAGAGAUAGGGCUUCCCCUUCG
rnacentral:rRNA from 1 species